AGUGAACGCUGGCGGUAGGCCUAACACAUGCAAGUCGAACGGCAGCACAGGAGAGCUUGCUCUCUGGGUGGCGAGUGGCGGACGGGUGAGGAAUACAUCGGAAUCUACUCUGUCGUGGAGGAUAACGUAGGGAAACUUACGCUAAUACCGCAUACGACCUACGGGUGAAAGCAGGUGACCUUCGGGCCUUGCGCGAUUGAAUGAGCCGAUGUCGGAUUAGCUAGUUGGCGGGGUAAAGGCCCACCAAGGCGACGAUCCGUAGCUGGUCUGAGAGGAGGAUCAGCCACACUGGAACUGAGACACGGUCCAGACUCCUACGGGAGGCAGCAGUGGGGAAUAUUGGACAAUGGGCGCAAGCCUGAUCCAGCCAUACCGCGUGGGUGUAGAAGGCCUUCGGGUUGUAAAGCCCUUUUGUUGGGAAAGAAAUCCAGCUGGCUAAUACCCGGUUGGGAUGACGGUACCCAAAGAAUAAGCACCGGCUAACUUCGUGCCAGCCGCCGCAGUAA
rnacentral:rRNA from 1 species